AUAUUCCAGAUCCUGCGAAAUGCUUCAAGAUAAUGGGUAAAAACAAUUCUUAUCCUAUGCCAACCCUAUCACCCAAUUUUAGAAUUAAGGUCUUCAGGAGCUGCAUAUAAGAGUUCAGCAGCUUUUGGUCUGUCGACUGACCCAAAAAGAAUGUCGGCCGUGGUGAGGUAAGGGUCACCAUAGAAAUGUAUAUCAGUGUCCAGCCUUUUUGCUAUAAUGUUUCCUUCUAGAGAAACACCCACAGAUGCACCUAAGCCACAUACAAAUUAGCAGCAGACGGUUGUUGUAGUGAUACUGUGAUACAUUCAAAUUUACAUGGAAAGAGAACAUUAACGUGCACCUAGCCUCUACAAAGCAUUACAUUUGUAAAAAAACCAAAUGCACAAAAGACAUAUUUUGUUAAGAAAUUUUGCAAGUAAAAAUUAAGAGGAGACAUCAGUGUUAUGCUAAUUUCUUUCAGACAAUUUUGUUGGUGGUUACGGAGCUUGUCUGACAAAGUGCAUUUUCAACUGCAAAAUGAGCUGAAAUUGCAUGAUGGAAGACAUGGUGGUGCGUUAGUAAGCCAUGACAGUAUUUUAGCAGACGAAAUGGGAGAGAGCAGCAUCAUAUCAAAUAUUUUGUCAAUGGACUUCGAUUUGUGGGAUGAAGCUUUACCUUCACCGCAGAAUUUGGUUAAGUUACCAGGAGAAACUGAUAAACAGUUUGGUCCGCUUGGUGCAAUGAAUAUGAAGAAAGUACAAAACAGCAAUCAGUCUAGGUUCUCAUUUGCAAGAGAGGAACAUCAAGCAUCCAAUUUUGGGCCAUCUUCUGCUUCUUGCAAACUGUUAGGAAUCAUUCUUUCACAAAGGUUUUAAGGACAAUGGAAACUAUUAUCACAGUGGUGCUGCCAAUGGUUAUUCUACUUUGAGCGUGCAGCAACCUGUUGAUCUUGCAAGCACCUUUUUUCAUAAUUCACCCAACAGGAAAGAUGUGAAGGAAAUUCAGGGGAUGAUAACCUGGUACUCUAAUAGUUAUAUGAUAUUGCUGCUUUAUGUUACUUAUAGGCUGCUGUAGCGCUAUAGUUGAGUUUAUCUUUUUUCAUAAGGUUUGUUCAAAUUUUGUAUUUUUUAAUGUUGCUUAUUAAUUUUAUGUUAGUGUACAUAUACAGGGAUUCAAAAAAAAUUCUUGCUUUCUUGGCUCGUCUCUGCAUCCAAUGCUAGCAGAGCUUGUUGUGGAGUUAGGUGACAAUAAAUUAGUGUUUACCAUGUAGUUUAAUGUCUCUUGUCCAUAAGAAUUCUCUAUAAUAUGUGGAACAAAUUUUGUGGAUCUUGGUCAUACAAAUAUCUUUAGCUAACCAGAAAGUUUGGGUGA